UUUCACAAAGAGUUCCAUACGUGUUGGGCCUCGACAUGUCAUCAAAGUACGAAUGUUUAUUACUAUAAGGUUCUCCAUUUAACUGAUUGGUAAAGCAUUGGAAUCUCUGCCAGUUUUUAAACACGUAAAGCACAAUUUCACUUCUUAUUUGAUCACUAAAGGACACUGUGUUAUACAAUAAAAACGAUAAUGAAGAAAAAAGACACGCGCCGUCGCCGGGAAUUUCAAUAAUUUCGAAAGAAAUGCUCGAUUCCAUUAGUGUGCAGUAAAAAUUUGUAUGGGUAAAAGAAAUUGUGAAAAGUAAAUUAUGAUAUGUAACCGAAACAUUAAUUAUACAUGGAGACAUGGCUUUUACGAAUGAUAAUUGGUCGCACGAACUCAAGAAGCAGAUAAUUGACUACGUUGAAGAAGUCAAUGGAACAUACAUUGUUGGUUGUACAACCGUUGUAAAGGUUUUCUUGAGAGAUGGGCGGACUCAUGAAGCUAUGUCAUUCAAAGAAUCUCGUAGC